rnacentral:rRNA from 1 species
AACUUUCAACAACGGAUCUCUUGGCUCUGGCAUCGAUGAAGAACGCAGCGAAAUGCGAUAAGUAAUGUGAAUUGCAGAAUUUAGUGAAUCAUCGAAUC